AUUGAACGCUGGCGGCAUGCUUUACACAUGCAAGUCGAACGGCAGCACGGGUGCUUGCACCUGGUGGCGAGUGGCGGACGGGUGAGUAAUACAUCGGAACGUGUCCUGAAGUGGGGGAUAACGCAUCGAAAGAUGUGCUAAUACCGCAUAUUCUCUGAGGAGGAAAGUAGGGGAUCGAAAGACCUUAUGCUUUUGGAGCGGCCGAUGUCUGAUUAGCUAGUUGGUAAGGUAAUGGCUUACCAAGGCGACGAUCAGUAGUUGGUCUGAGAGGACGACCAGCCACACUGGGACUGAGACACGGCCCAGACUCCUACGGGAGGCAGCAGUGGGGAAUUUUGGACAAUGGGCGCAAGCCUGAUCCAGCAAUGCCGCGUGAGUGAAGAAGGCCU
rnacentral:rRNA from 1 species